rnacentral:rRNA from 1 species
AAUUUUGGACAGUGGGCGCAAGCCUGAUCCAGCCAUGCCGCGUGAGUGAAGAAGGCCUUCGGGUUGUAAAGCACUUUAAGUUGGGAGGAAGGGUUGUAGAUUAAUACUCUGCAAUUUUGACGUUACCGACAGAAUAAGCACCGGCUAACUUCGUGCCAGCAGCCGCGGUAAUACGAAGGGUGCAAGCGUUAAUCGGAAUUACUGGGCGUAAAGCGCGCGUAGGUGGUUCAGUAAGUUAGGAGUGAAAGCCCCGGGCUUAACCUGGGAAUUGCUUCUAAAACUGCUGAGCUAGAGUACGGUAGAGGGUGGUGGAAUUUCCUGUGUAGCGGUGAAAUGCGUAGAUAUAGGAAGGAACAUCAGUGGCGAAGGCGACCACCUGGACUGAUACUGACACUGAGGUGCGAAAGCGUGGGGAGCAAACAGG